UACGGGGGGGGCAAGCGUUGUUCGGAAUUACUGGGCGUAAAGGGCUCGUAGGCGGCCAACUAAGUCAGACGUGAAAUCCCUCGGCUUAACCGGGGAACUGCAUCUGAUACUGGAUGGCUUGAGUUCGGGAGAGGGAUGCGGAAUUCCAGGUGUAGCGGUGAAAUGCGCAGAUAUCAGGAAGAACACCCGUGGCGAAGGCGGCUUUCUGGGACGGUACUGACGCUGAGACGCGAAAGCGUGGGGAGCGAACAGG
rnacentral:rRNA from 1 species